CUUAAUACGGAGUGGCCAGGCUCUCCGUAGACGGGCUCUGGUAUGGCUAAUAAACCUCCCUAAAACUGCAUAUCCCGUAAUUAACUUGUGCGCAUGCGCAGUAGUGUUCUCCUUGCGUCAUUGAUUCCUACAGGCACUGCUGUCAAGCAUCCUCUUGGAAGAAAGUUUACGUUCUUGUUGUCUGGUUCGUCCAACAAAUGACGACGAAACGGACGUUUUCCUACCACACCCAAUGUGCUGCUUCACUGCUACUGGAGGAUCAGGCUGACUGCAACUACUAUGGAUGCUAUGGAUGGCAGGAAAACACAGUACACGUGAAAUUCUAGAUGAAGAGUGAAUAAAUGCACUUGCUUAACUGAUAA